UGAUCUAGCAAUAGAGAGAUGGCGACCGGCGCACGGGUGAGUAACACGUAUCCAACCUGCCGAUAACUCGGGGAUAGCCUUUCGAAAGAAAGAUUAAUACCGGAUAGUAUAGGAAUACCGCAUGGUAUUGUUAUUAAAGAAUUUCGGUUAUCGAUGGGGAUGCGUUCCAUUAGUUUGUUGGCGGGGUAACGGCCCACCAAGACUUCGAUGGAUAGGGGUUCUGAGAGGAAGGUCCCCCACAUUGGAACUGAGACACGGUCCAAACUCCUACGGGAGGCAGCAGUGAGGAAUAUUGGUCAAUGGACGAGAGUCUGAACCAGCCAAGUAGCGUGAAGGAUGAAGGCCCUAU
rnacentral:rRNA from 1 species